GCCUAAAGAGAAGCUUGCGGCUGAUUAGCUUGUUGGUGAGGUAAUAGCUCACCAAGGCGACGAUCAGUAUCUGGUUUGAGAGGACGAUCAGACACACUGGAACUGAGACACGGUCCAGACUCCUACGGGAGGCAGCAGUAGGGAAUUUUCCGCAAUGGGCGAAAGCCUGACGGAGCAAUACCGCGUGAGGGAUGACGGCCUAUGGGUUGUAAACCUCUUUUUUCAGGGAGGAAUAAAUGACGUGUACCUGAAGAAUAAGCAUCGGCUAACUCCGUGCCAGCAGCCGCGGUAAGACGGAGGAUGCAAGUGUUAUCCGGAAUCACUGGGCGUAAAGCGUCUGUAGGUGGUCCAAUAAGUCAACUGUUAAAUCUUGAGGCUCAACCUCAAAACCGCAGUCGAAACUAUUAGACUAGAGUAUAGUAGGGGUAAAGGGAAUUUCCAGUGGAGCGGUGAAAUGCGUAGAUAUUG
rnacentral:rRNA from 1 species